rnacentral:tRNA from 1 species
GCGGGAAUGGCGGAAUUGGCAGACGCGCUAGUUUCAGGUAUUAGUGAACGUUCGUUCAUGCAGGUUCAAGUCCUGUUUCCCGCACCA